rnacentral:piRNA from 1 species
UCUAAUGCAGAAAUUUUGUUC